AUUGAACGCUGGAGGCAGGCCUAACACAUGCAAGUCGAACGAGUGGCGGACGGGUGAGUAAUGUCUGGGAAACUGCCUGAUGGAGGGGAUAACUACUGGAAACGGUAGCUACUACCGCAUACCAUCAGAUGUGCCCAGCUGGGAUUAGCUUGUUGGUGGGGUAACUGCUUACCAAGGCGACGAGCCCUAGCUGGCCUGAGAGGAUGACCAGCCACACUGGAACUGAUACACGGUCCAGACUCCUACGGGUGGAAGCAGUGGGGAAUAUUGAACAAUGGGCGAAAGCCUGAUGCAGCCAGGCCGCGUGUAUGACGAAGGCCAUCGGGUUGUAAAGUACUUUCAGCGGGGAGGCGUUACCCGCAGAAGAAGCACCGGCUAACUCCGUGCCAGCAGCCGCGGUAAUUC
rnacentral:rRNA from 1 species